GGAAACUGGGAAUUUGAGAGAUGUUAUAUACAAAGGUUAUACGUCGGAGUUGUUUGUGCCUUAUAUGGACCCGACGGAUGCUUGGUAUUUCAAGACGUAUAUGGAUGCAGGGGAAUACGGGUUCGGGUUGCAGGCAAUGAGUCUUGACCCGCUUAAUGAUUGCCCAAGAAACGCGUAUUAUGUGGACGGUGUGUUUGCGGCUGUGGAUGGAAAGCCGUAUGUGCGACGGAAUAUGAUUUGCUUGUUUGAGA
rnacentral:misc_RNA from 1 species